rnacentral:tRNA from 1 species
GCCGAAAUAGCUCAGUUGGGAGAGCGUUAGACUGAAGAUCUAAAGGUCCUGGUUCAAUCCCGGUUUCGGCA